UGACAUUCCUUAGCUUCAUCUGGCUGGGAAGCAUAGGACAUUAUCACCAAAUAACCCUGGUCUGUGUGCCUUUAUUUUAUUGCCUCUCUUUUAUGGUCAUGUUACCUAUAAUAGUCUAAGCCAGCAGGUGAUUUAACCAAGGAUCUCUACAUAAUAGGACCUUAGGCUAGGAUGAAAGUGCCGCGUCUCACUUUGAACCUCACAAAACUGAGGCGGCAAAAUGGGAAAAGUGGAAGCGAGGCAAAGAAGAGCGCAAAGUCCCAGGCAGUGAGGCCUGACCAUGCUGGCUGCCCCUUCACUGCGGGUCAUGAAGAGACACGGCCCCUUGCUCGGGGGGUACUGGGCUUGCCCGGGAGACAUUCCUAACGGCCAUAAGGAAAAGCCAUGAAUCAGAGCGGGUCGGCCUGGUUCCGUCUGGCCUCCUAUUUCCCAUCAGUCAGCUACCUUCAACUUCUGGAUUCCAUUUCGUCAUCCGGGCUCUUCCACGGCUGCUGGGGUGCCGCGUCUCAUUCCCUUCAAGCCUGGAAGUGGGGGCAGGAAUCAGAGGCUCCAGGCGUGGGCUGGUCAUUGUGACUGUUCUAGAGGGCCCAGCGCAAGUGACUGGCCGGUCCCAGGCAGCAAAGAUCCCAGCGCUCCAGAAGCAGAUCACACACCCUGCUGCCGCGCAUACCUUUCCCUGCUCUCACCCACGUGAGGGGCUGUCUUGGUCAUGAGUGACUCAAAGAUCGGAGGCACUUGAGGAUCUGGUUGUCUGGAAGGUGUUCAUUCUGAGUCUCAUCUGAUGACUCCAGCCUGAUGUUUUCAGUUAUUUUAAACUGCAGCUUUUGUUUGAACAAUCUCAAUCUAAGGAAAUACUGCAAGGCCUGGUUCUAGAAAGAAACAUUUGUUUUCAUUUCUUCCAUGAACUCCAGUACUAUUAAUCUGAGACCUCAUCCGUUCAUUCAUUAUUUUAUGUCUAAAGAACCAAUCAGAGAGUAAAAGUUCAAAUACUAAACCUGUCCAAAGAUAUGCUUAUGGUUUUAAUUUCUCAAGGGAAUUAUUUCUCUCUUCAGAACACAGGCUUAGAGAAAGAGUUUUCCCCGUCUUUUGCCAUUGUUACUUUUCCUUAACUCUUGUUCACCCUUUACAUUAAAAUAAAACUUUU